rnacentral:misc_RNA from 1 species
AAGUCGUAACAAGGUUUCCGUAGGUGAAUAACACGUAUCCAACGUAAAAAACCCCCCUGUGAACAUUCAAACCUGCUCUCGUAGCCCAGUGAUCCAGCAAUCCCGGUAAAUCAUUGUCGAACAGUGUUGAUUCGGGACUUCUGACAAAUGAGAAGUUACACUUACGAUUGAGCGGAGAUAGCUGCAUGGCAUCGAAGCAGUCAGUGUCUGAAAGUGUCAUUGAUUGUCUAAGGAUCUCGCCUCAACGAUUGCCAGAGGUCGCUCACCGACCGGCAGACAUGCAACCGGCUAAAAAACCUCGAACAACUGUUAACAAUGGAUAUCUUGGUUCUC